GAUGAACGCUGGCGGCGUGCCUAACACAUGCAAGUCGAACGAAGCACUGAGACUUCGGUUUUUGUGCUUAGUGGCGGACGGGUGAGUAACGCGUGAGCAAUCUGCCUUUCAGAGGGGGAUAACGAUUGGAAACGAUCGCUAAUACCGCAUAACGUAUUCGGAUGGCAUCAUCUGAAUACCAAAGGAGCAAUCCGCUGAAAGAUGAGCUCGCGUCUGAUUAGAUAGUUGGUGAGGUAACGGCCCACCAAGUCAACGAUCAGUAGCCGGACUGAGAGGUUGAACGGCCACAUUGGGACUGAGACACGGCCCAGACUCCUACGGGAGGCAGCAGUGGGGAAUAUUGCGCAAUGGGGGAAACCCUGACGCAGCAACGCCGCGUGAUUGAAGAAGGUCUUCGGAUUGUAAAAAUCUUUUAUCAAGGACGAAGAAGUGACGGUACUUGAUGAAUAAGCUCCGGCUAACUACGUGCCAGCCGCCGCGGUAA
rnacentral:rRNA from 1 species